UCAUUGUGAAAGACAUGGGUAGUGAGAUGUUCAUUAUUUUUUUUUGUCUCACUACCUUGUCUUUCAUGAGGUA
rfam:Dendroctonus ponderosae Seq01013269, whole genome shotgun sequence.